GCCAGGCCACGUUCGGGGGCCGAAAGUGCUUUCGCAUGCAUGCCAUGUUCGGCGGCCGAACUUGAGUUUCGGCGGCCGAACCUGGACUCCCCUUUUCUCAUGCUUUCGGGGGCCUAACGUGCCUCCAAAACGCAUGCAUGUUCGGCGGCCGAACUUGACUUUCGGCGGCCGAACCUGGGUUUUCCUCCAAAGACUUUUCA
rnacentral:lncRNA from 1 species